UCCUGUGUGGUUGAUGAUUACAGUGCUUCUGAGACAAAGUGAUUGCUCAGUCUCAAAGUAAACGCUCUGACGCACAGAGG